rnacentral:rRNA from 1 species
UGGGGAAUUUUGGACAAUGGGGGAAACCCUGAUCCAGCCAUCCCGCGUGUGCGAUGAAGGCCUUCGGGUUGUAAAGCACUUUUGGCAGGAAAGAAACGUCAUGGGUUAAUACCCCGUGAAACUGACGGUACCUGCAGAAUAAGCACCGGCUAACUACGUGCCAGCAGCCGCGGUAAUAUGUAGGGUGCAAGCGUUAAUCGGAAUUACUGGGCGUAAAGCGUGAGCAGGCGGUUCGGAAAGAAAGAUGUGAAAUCCCAGAGCUCAACUUUGGAACUGCAUUUUUAACUACCGGGCUAGAGUGUGUCAGAGGGAGGUGGAAUUCCGCGUGUAGCAGUGAAAUGCGUAGAUAUGCGGAGGAACACCGAUGGCGAAGGCAGCCUCCUGGGAUAACACUGACGCUCAUGCACGAAAGCGUGGGGAGCAAACAGG